rnacentral:rRNA from 1 species
AAUCCCCUCUACUUAGUGCCCCGUAAGGGGCGCAAGCCUAGUGGCGAAAGGGUGAGUAAUGCAUUGAUAACCUGCCUUUGGGAUGGGAAUAACUGCGUUUCGAGCAAUCGGAACUACCGAAAGGGCUGCUAAUACCCAAUAAUACUAUAGGUGCAAAAGCACUUGUGGUCAAAUGCUAGGAAUUCUGUUCCUUGUGCUUAAAGAGGGGUUAAUGUCCUAUCAGCUAGUUGAUGGGGUAAUGGCCUACCAAGGCGAAGACGGGUAGCCGGCCUGAGAGGGUGGUCGGCCACACUGGGACUGAGACACUGCCCAGACUCCUACGGGAGGCUGCAGUCGAGAAUCUUUCGCAAUGCCCGAAAGG